UGGGGAAUAUUGGACAAUGGGCGAAAGCCUGAUCCAGCCAUGCCGCGUGUGUGAAGAAGGUCUUCGGAUUGUAAAGCACUUUAAGUUGGGAGGAAGGGCAGUAAGCGAAUACCUUGCUGUUUUGACGUUACCGACAGAAUAAGCACCGGCUAACUCUGUGCCAGCAGCCGCGGUAAUAAAGAGGGUGCAAGCGUUAAUCGGAAUUACUGGGCGUAAAGCGCGCGUAGGUGGUUCGUUAAGUUGAAUGUGAAAGCCCCGGGCUCAACCUGGGAACUGCAUCCAAAACUGGCGAGCUAGAGUAGGGCAGAGGGUGGUGGAAUUUCCUGUGUAGCGGUGAAAUGCGUAGAUAUAGGAAGGAACACCAGUGGCGAAGGCGACCACCUGGGCUCAUACUGACACUGAGGUGCGAAAGCGUGGGGAGCAAACAGG
rnacentral:rRNA from 1 species